rnacentral:rRNA from 1 species
AGUGAACGCUGGCGGUAGGCCUAACACAUGCAAGUCGAACGGCAGCACAGUAAGAGCUUGCUCUUACGGGUGGCGAGUGGCGGACGGGUGAGGAAUACAUCGGAAUCUACUUUUUCGUGGGGGAUAACGUAGGGAAACUUACGCUAAUACCGCAUACGACCUACGGGUGAAAGCAGGGGAUCUUCGGACCUUGCGCGAUUGAAUGAGCCGAUGUCGGAUUAGCUAGUUGGCGGGGUAAAGGCCCACCAAGGCGACGAUCCGUAGCUGGUCUGAGAGGAUGAUCGGCGACACUGGAACUGAGACACGGUCCAGACUCCUGCGGGAGGCAGCAGUGGGGAAUAUUGGACAAUGGGCGGAAGCCUGAUCCAGCCAUACCGCGUGGGUGAAGAAGGCCUUCGGGUUGUAAAGCCCUUUUGUUGGGAAAGAAAAGCAGCAGGUUAAUACCCCGCUGUUCUGACGGUACCCAAUGAAUAAGCACCGGCUAACUUCGUG